rnacentral:rRNA from 1 species
UACGUAGGUGGCAAGCGUUGUCCGGAUUUACUGGGCGUAAAGAGCGCGCAGGCGGUCGCUCAAGUCGCGUGUGAAAGCCCCCGGCUCAACUGGGGAGGGUCACGCGAUACUGAUCGACUGGAAGGCAGGAGAGGGUAGUGGAAUUCCUGGUGUAGCGGUGGAAUGCGCAGAUAUCAGGAGGAACACCGAUGGCGAAGGCAGGUCUCUGGGCCGCAACUGACGCUGAGGAGCGAAAGCAUGGGGAGCGAACAGG